UGCGUCCAUAUCUCAACGAAACUCCGGUUCUCGUCUGAUCAAGAAAUUAAGCAAAAUGGAGCCUGGUCAGUACCUGGAUGGGUGACCGCUUAGGAAUACCAAGUGCUGUAAG